GGGUUCAGCACCCAAUAGGAACUAUGGCAUUGAGUCAGCGGAGUCCACUGACAACUCCUUGCUUGAAUUGGAACAGCGUGUGGAAGAAGCAUGACCUAUGGUUGAAAGAGUGCUUCGAGAAAGAGAAGAAAGAGAAGAGUUUGGACGAGAAAUUGAAAGAAAAGAGCAUGAAAUACGAGCAGAAAGAGCACAGAAGAAGAGAGAAAGAGAGGCAAGGGAGCUAGAGGAAGCCAGAGGAUGGCCUCAACAGCAGGAACCAGUUACUGGACAGUCUUUGUGGCUUUGUGAACAUUACCAACGUCAUUGUAGAGUUCGUUUUCCUUGCUGUACCAACUUCUAUUCAUGCCACCGUUGCCAUAACAAUUCCAAAGAAUGUGACAAUGAGGAAGCUAAAGCAAGUCAUGCAACUCACCUUAAAUGCAGCUAUUGUCAUCAUGAACAAGAGAUUGGUGAAGACAGUGCCAAGUGUCGUAGCUGUGGAGCAAAGGUGUCAGCUUAUUUUUGUGGAAUCUGCAAGCAUUUUACAAGCAUUGACAAAAACCCCUAUCAUUGUGAGAAAUGUGGGAUAUGUAGGAUACACAAAGACAAAUCUUUCCAUUGUGAUGUGUGUAAUGUAUGUCUUGACAAGCGUCUGCAAGGAAAACACAAGUGUAGACCAGACUCUGGCCAUGAUGAAUGUUGUAUUUGUCUUGAGGAUGCAUUCAGCGGAUGUCAAAUUUUACCCUGCUCCCACAAAGUUCAUCGGGAAUGUGCAAUAGCUAUGAUACAAAAUGGGAUUCGAACCUGUCCAGUUUGCCGACAUCCAUUAUACAGCCCAGCUCCUGAGUGAAUAGACUUUGAACAGUCCCUUCUCUUCUGGGAAGUCUUUUGUGUGCCCAAAAAAAAAUCGGUGAAAACAAAAAGUGACUGGUGAGCUGAAAUCAAUUUUUUCACUUAAUUUCUUUUCACUCGCAUGACAGACUUUGCUGAGGAGGAGGGACUGCUUGUAGACUACUGAGUGAAAAUCUACAUUGAGGCAUUCUCCAACAAUGGUUUUACCACAGAGUAGAAAAGCAGAUUUGGCAGUAUUUUGCAAAUUCUAUGCUGACUACAGACUUAAAGGACAAGCCUCCCUUGAAGCAAGUAAAAUGCAAUAAGGAAAUGAUUUUCUUCCAAAGGAAUCAAGAAAUCACAGCACAGUGAAUUUCAUCACUUUAAGGAGCCAAUGUACUUUCCCAGUGUUCACAUUCUGUACAGCUCAACUUUGGCUGAUGCAUUUGUUGAGAUUCUCUGGCACAUCAAUUGUUGCAAUUACUAGGCUAUUCAAUCUGUUAUGAAGAAAUGGCUAUGUAAAUCAUUGUAUUUAAUGCAUUUUUCGAGUUUCCAUGUUUUUUCUUUUAAUCCUUUAUUAAUAGUUAUUUAAGGCCAUAAGUUUACAAGGCUGUACGUUGCUUUGACAGACAUUUAGAAGUUCAUGUUUUGUUGUUAAAAGUGUCAAACCGAGUUUUUGAGCCAAAUGCCUUUAGUAAUUGGCCAGGCUAUUAACUGUUGUAUAGAAGGGAAGUUUGACUCAUUUUCACAAUUUUGAAAAAUGUACCAAACCAAAACAGAAUGAAGAAAAAUGCAAAUGAAAAUUGUCAAGAAAAAUUAUUGCUUAUUAUAGUCAGAGAUAUAUUUUUGAUGAAUUUAAAAUAUUUUAUAUUUAUUUAUUGUCUUCAUUAAAUGGAAUGUUGAGUUGACAUA
rnacentral:misc_RNA from 1 species